rnacentral:rRNA from 1 species
AGUGAACGCUGGCGGUAGGCCUAACACAUGCAAGUCGAACGGCAGCACAGUAAGAGCUUGCUCUUACGGGUGGCGAGUGGCGGACGGGUGAGGAAUACAUCGGAAUCUACUUUUUCGUGGGGGAUAACGUAGGGAAACUUACGCUAAUACCGCAUACGACCUACGGGUGAAAGCAGGGGAUCUUCGGACCUUGCGCGAUUGAAUGCGCCGAUGUCGGAUUAGCUAGUUGGCGGGGUAAAGGCCCACCAAGGCGACGAUCCGUAGCUGGUCUGAGAGGAUGAUCAGCCACACUAGAACUGGGACACGGUCCAGACUCCUACGGGAGGCAGCAGUGUGGAAUAUUGGACAAUGGGCGCAAGCCUGAUCCAGCCAUACCGCGUGGGUGAAGAAGGCCUUCGGGUUGUAAAGCCCUUUUGUUGGGAAAGAAAAGCAGCAGGUUAAUACCCCGCUGUUCUGACGGUACCCAAAGAAUAAGCACCGGCUAACUUCGUG